CUCCCACAAAAGAGUAGACCUUCCUGGGUGCUGUCGCCGGUGGUCCUCCUCCUGGCUCCCGUGUCUGUGGCCUGCCCUGUCAGUCUGAAUGACAGCUGUUCAUGCUGACUCUUGGAGUGCACCUGGUCUUUCCAUCGGGGACAGAUCUCACCAUUUGACGUGGGCUGUCUUGACAGGCUAAUAACAGUGGGAUGACGGUGCGGUUGGUCUCCUGCAGCCAGCUGCCGUAGCGGGUGGGCAGGUAGUCCAGGCCGCCGUAGAUGCCCUGACUCAUGGCC